rnacentral:rRNA from 1 species
AGAUUGAACGCUGGCGGCAUGCCUUACACAUGCAAGUCGAGCGGCAGCGCGGGGAGGGGCAACUCUCCCUGGCGGCGAGCGGCGAACGGGUGAGUAAUACAUCGGAACGUGUCCAGUAGUGGGGGAUAACCAGUCGAAAGAUUGGCUAAUACCGCAUACGAUCU